AGAGAGAGAGAGACAGAGACACACAGAGGUCUCAGAAUGACGUUCCCCGGGACUGUAAAAACGGCCCUCAGAGAAAGCAGUGCGAAAGUGACGGCCAAAGAAAAACAGAACAAACGAAGAGUGGGAACAACACAGUGGUGAUGUGACGGCCUUCCCUGGACGAUGCUGGGUCAAUUGUGCGCCGUCCUAUGGGACUCCCAAUCACGGCCAGAUGUGAUACAGCCUGGAUUUGAACCUGCGUUAGAAGUUCAAAACAAUAUUGGAGCCAGGCCCUGAACACGACAACACCUCUACUGUGACCCAUCUAGCUCUACACAGAGAUGGAUGGCUCCAGGAUUAGGCCCUGAUAUGGCCUAAUGGGAAUGGGAAUCCAAAAAGGACGCCAGGUCUCAGACACAUCCAUCUGUUAUUGUGCAGGAGUUUGGCGUGGCUUUUGUCUAUUUUCAGAAACUGCUCUGUACUCCAGUAUUUUCACUCUCUCACUUUUGUACAUUUCAGCGACCAUGUGCUAUCUCUCUCUAUGUCUUUCUCCCUUCUCUCUCUCUUUUUCACUCUCUCUCUCCCUCUAUCAUAAGUACUUAGCUUUUUUAAUCUGGUGUACUCUCUCUUUCUCCCUCCCUCCUUGUGUGCUUAACUCUUCUGUUAAUUCUCGCUUGCUAUCUCCCCCCUCUAUCUCAUUUUGCUGUCCUGUUCCUCUCAUCUUCCCUCCCUCUCUGUGUGCCGUGUUGACCUGUGACCUGCUGUUGACCCGCAGUGACCUUUCAGUAUGGAGGCUGCUGAGUAGGCUGCUGCUCGCCAUAGAGUCAUGGCUCAUGUUUGCAUUCCUGACAUGGCUGCAUUCUCACUGUGAUCCCCCCACUACCUGACAGAGCUCGGUUUAUGUGCUAGCCUCCAGUGCAGUGUCUGUCAAGUACUCCGCUGAAGCUGUUAACAACAUUCAAAGUGGUAUUGAACUCAAUGCCUUGUCGUAUAUUCACAGGCAAUUUGACAAGGGACUUUUGGUAUUAACCCGAGGUUGCAUAAGAAACGACAUUAGUGCCACCGGAUUUAAAGGCGAUCUCUGACAUAUGUGACCGGUUUCAGGAAACUAGGCGUAUGUCGUGGGUCAGUACUUCACAGGAGAGCAGAAAUGCUGGAGAGCAGAAAUGCCUGGCAGAAAUGCCUUCUCUUAACAUGUGAACUUCCAUGUGCCUUAAUAACAAACUUAUAUACCAUCUGUAAAUACGCAUACAAUUUUUUGAUUAUGAGCCUAGUUGGUUUAGCCACAUAAAAAGACAGAAACCUUCCCACUAGCCAUGAUUGGCUGAGAUAAUGAGUGUGCUGGACAUGCCGAGAUAUGAGUUGUAAUUGGUCUGCCAUAUAGCACGCUUCUGUCUAUUUGAGCUGGUCAGUAUGUGUAGGUAAUCCUGUCUAACACAGCUUUUUUUUGUCAAAUGUAUCUCGUAAAACUGCAUGUGUGUUGCUCUCUACUUUCUGGAGGACCGGGUUUUGAAAUCAGUGGAAUUCGAGUAUGACAGCUAAGGAGAUGGGGAUGUCACGU